CGGACGGGUGAGUAACGCGUGAGGAACCUGCCUCAGAGUGGGGGAGUAACACACCGAAAGGUGUGCUAAUACCGCAUAACAUAUGGGAGGGGCAUCCCUUUCAUAUCAAAGAUUUAUUGCUCUGAGAUGGCCUCGCGUCCAAUUAGCUAGUUGGCGGGGUAACGGCCCACCAAGGCGACGAUUGGUAGCCGGACUGAGAGGUUGAACGGCCACAUUGGGACUGAGACACGGCCCAGACUCCUACGGGAGGCAGCAG
rnacentral:rRNA from 1 species